rnacentral:rRNA from 1 species
GUGAGGAAUUUUCCGCAAUGGGCGAAAGCCUGACGGAGCAAUGCCGCGUGAAGGAUGAAGGCCUAUGGGUUGUAAACUUCUUUUCUCAGAAAAGAAUUAUGACGGUAUCUGAGGAAUAAGCAUCGGCUAACUCUGUGCCAGCAGCCGCGGUAAGACAGAGGAUGCAAGCGUUAUCCGGAAUGAUUGGGCGUAAAGCGUCUGUAGGUUGUUUAAAAAGUAUUCUGUCAAAGAUUAGGGCUUAACCCUAGAUAGGCAGAAUAAACUUUUAAGCUAGAGUUUGGUAGAGGCAGAUGGAAUUCCCGGUGGAGCGGUGAAAUGCGUAGAUAUCGGGAGGAACACCAAAGGCGAAGGCACUCUGCUGGGCCAAUACUAACACUGAGAGACGAAAGCGAGGGGAGCAAAUGGGAUUAGAUACCCCGGUAGUCC